UGCAACACUCUAUUGUAGGUCACUGGCCAAUCUGCAUAUUGGCUUUCCUUGGGUUUCCAUGGAGAUGGAAUGUUUCCAACUUGGGAAAAUAGAUGAACAGAGACAUACUUUACCAGGAAGUGGCAUCUAAGAAACAUUUUUGGGGAAAUGAAAUUUAACUGAACCAUGGGAUGUCUACAGACAAAACUUUGAAAUAUCUAUGGGUCAUAGAACCAAAUACAACGGCAAACUCCGAAUCUGCGCACUUAUCUGACCUGCUCUUGGCCAUUGACCAGCUCCUCCAUUCCUGUACUCUUCACUAAAUCAUGUGACUUACUUCUGCAUGCUCCAGUUAAGCAUCUAACAUUGGUCGAACAUUUUGUGAGUGAUUGCUGUCUUCUUGCUGUUGUGAUCGUCUUUUCCAAACAUGAGUGGAUCCAUACUGUAUCAUUAUACGGACUUUCCCUCUUUAAGAAGUAUGGAUGGUUUGUGCCUCUAACUGCAGCUCCUGAGAGGUAGAGGCUGGAAGGCUUUCAGAUUAGCACAAGUCAUGUAGUCAUACAUUGUCUUUAAGAGAGAGAAAGAAAAAAAGGAGGAGGAGUGGAAGAAGGACAAGAAAAAGAUGAGGAGAGAUAAGAGGAAAAGGAGGAGCCAAUCAGGCACGGUGGAGGAUGCCUUUUUAUCCAAGCACUCGAGGAUAGACACAAGCAGAUCUCUGUGAAUUCAAGGCCAGCCUGGUCUACAUGAUGUGUUCCAGGCUAACUGGGGCUACAUAGUUGAACCCCAUCUUAAGAAGGAGAAAAAGAGGAAGAUAAAGGAAGAAGGAAGAGAAGAAACAGAGAUUAUAAAAUGUACUAUAGCAAACCCCACUGUCGUUAGGGCAAUUUGUCUAGGAUCUUUGGGAAAAUCCAUUAUUGCUGGAGAAAGAUUGACGGCCAUCCUUGGUAUUCCAUCUCAAUUACUUGAAAUGUGAGCUUUUGCCCAUUUCCUUGGGCACAGUCCUGCUGGGAUGGUUAACAAUCUUCCAAGAAUGACAAGCACGGUAUGGGAGUGCACAAGCUUAAACCAAAUCCAGCUUCUAAUGUUUAUAAAGUGGAGUUAUGGGACAUGAACUAGGGUUACAGAAGGAUGAUAAACAAAUCAAGAAAACAAAUGCAAAAAGCCCCAACCAAUGACCAACAGCUCAGCCUUGCUGGAGGGUCAGAUGACUGGAAGAGAAAACAGAAGUAAAAAAUUCGGAGAUUUUUUUUUCCCCAAAUAGAAGUCUGACUGUUUUUAUUUUCUUCAACCCUCUCAGUCCUGCUUUGGCCAUGAAAGAAUAAAAGGAUGCUGCCCCGGGGGAUGCAAGGGCAAAUGUCAGGGGUGAUCUUGACUCUCCUCAAGGCUGGCCCUUCAGUCACUGAGCUAGGCUAUUUCACAGAGUUCUGUUUUAUACUAGAUCCUGAAUUAUUUUUAAUAAAAGGAAACAGUUACUGGCUAUCAUAAAAUUUAAGAAAAAGCAAAGUCUUUUAUGGAAAAGCAUAAAUGUUUUGGAUUAAUGCCAAGUGAUUGAUUUUGUUGGAUAGGUCUGUGAGUGGUAUCAGUACGGACUCUUUGUUUCUUAGGAAGUCUUCAUUAACUCACAAUGACUGGAGGAAAACAAGCAUAAAUGUGAAUGUUUCCAGUUGUGGAACAUCUGAAAGAUGGUCUUAUGUAGCCCAGGCUGGCCUCCACCUCUCUAUGUAACCAAAGAUGUCUUUGAACUUCUGCCUCCACACGUAGAGAGUUGGUGUUAAAUACAAACCCGGUUUGUGCAGUGCUGGGAUCAGUGUAAAACUUGCUUAUUUUAAGCAACACUCUACCAAGUAAAUGACAUUGCUGACCCACACAA